CGGAGCGCCGGAGGACCAAGGGGAGGGCGAGGCGAAGGGCCGGAGAGGACACGCCCCCGGCCCGGCCUCUCCUGACUCCCGCCUGGCCGGACUCCGGCAGUCCGGCUUCGGUCUCGUACAGAGCGGCGCCAUGGAGCAGCGGGUGCUACGGGUCCGGGCGGCCUUCCAGACGGGCCGCUCGCGGCCACUGACCUUCCGCCUGCAGCAGCUGCGGGCCCUGCAGAGGAUGGUGCAGGAGUGCCAGAAGGAGAUCCUGGCGGCGCUGGCCGAGGACCUGCACAAGAGUGAAUUCAACGCAUAUAGCCAAGAAGUUGUUAAUGUCCUUGGGGAACUUGACCAUGUAAUAGAGAAACUUCCUGAGUGGGUUGCUCCAGAGCCAGCUAAGAAAACUCUCCUGACGCUGAUGGAUGAGGCUUAUAUCCACUCAGAGCCCCUUGGAGUGGUCUUGAUUAUUGGGGCUUGGAACUACCCAUUUGUCCUAAAUAUCCAGCCAUUAAUAGGAGCCAUUGCAGCAGGAAAUGCAGUCAUAGUAAAGCCAUCAGAACUAAGUGAAAAGACAGCCAUGCUCUUGGCCAAGAUCAUCCCUCAGUAUUUGGAUAAGGAGCUAUACUGUGUAAUUAAUGGGGGCAUUGCGGAGACCACGGAACUGCUGAAGCAGAGAUUUGACCAUAUUCUCUACACUGGAAGCACUGGCGUUGGGAAGAUUGUCAUGGAAGCCGCUGCCAAGCAUUUGACCCCUGUGACUCUGGAGCUCGGAGGGAAGAGUCCAUGUUACAUUGAUAAAGACUGUAAUCUUGAUGUGGCUUGCAGACGUAUCACCUGGGGGAAAUAUAUGAACUGUGGUCAGACCUGCAUUGCUCCAGACUACAUCCUUUGUGAACCAUCUCUCCAGAGUCAGAUUGUGGAAAAGAUAAAGGAAACUGUGAAGGAAUUCUAUGGUGAAGAAAUAAAACAGUCUCCUGAUUAUGAAAGGAUCAUCAACCAUCGUCAUUUUAAAAGGGUGACAAAUUUACUUGAAGGACAAAAGAUAGCUUUUGGAGGGGAGACGGAUGAGGCUACACGAUUCAUAGCCCCGACUGUCCUUACUGAUGUGAACCCCAACUCCAAGGUGAUGCAAGAAGAGAUUUUUGGUCCUGUGCUUCCAAUAAUGCCUGUGAAAAAUGCAGAUGAAGCAAUACAGUUCAUAAACCAGAGAGAGAAACCCCUGGCCCUGUACGUGUUUUCUAAUAAUAAUAAGCUGAUUAAAAGGAUGAUAGAGGAAACCUCCAGUGGUGGGGUUACUGGCAAUGAUGUCAUCAUGCAUUUCACUCUCAACUCUUUGCCCUUUGGAGGAGUUGGUAAUAGUGGGAUGGGUGCAUACCAUGGAAAACACAGUUUUGACACCUUCUCCCAUCACCGAUCAUGCCUAAUAAAGAGUUUAAGGAUGGAGGGCGCCAAUAAGCUCCGCUACCCACCGAAUAGCCAGUCCAAGGUAGACUGGGCAAACUUCUUCCUCCUGAAACGCUUCAACAAAGGCAAGAUUGGGAUCUUCUUACUGGCUUUCCUGGGUAUCCUCGUAGCCGUAACUAUGAAAACUUCAUUGGUCCAAUAAACAGUGAGGAUCAGCGGAUUGCCAAAGGCAGCACUGUCUGUGAAAGCGAGCUUCAAUCCUUCUAAAGAUGGCUCAGGUUCAACUUGCAAGUUGUCUUUAUUGGAUUUCUGCUCUUGUUAACUGAUUAUGAACAAAUUGAUUCUUGUUAAAAAUAGUAAUAUAAAAGUGCAAAGAUUAACCUUAAAGCAGACUGCUAUUUACUCUUCUAAAAUUAACCUGCCAUUUCAAUCACAUCUCCAAACUCUUCUAGCACCAGAGCCCGUGAGGAGAAUGUUCCAGACUGAGAUUGUUAUAGAUUGAGAUUGUGAAAGAAUUGAGGAGAAAGGGAUGCUCUAGACUCUGGUUCCCAGCUUCAUUCCCCUUCAACCUCGAAACCAUUCCCAGGCUCUUUUGGAACAUAGGAGGGGGCAGGAUGGAGACAGGGCUUUUGAAAGAGUUCCUGGGUCACUGAGAGUCCUUCAUGGCCCUCUAGUAUGGGCAAGGAAGCUGGUCUUUCUCAGUACAGCUCAAAGGAGAAAUAGUCUUAGAUCCAUGCUUUCUGACUCCAUGUGACGCCAAGUCAGAGGAGGGGCAGAAUCCCCCCAUUUGCCACACUCAGGUUUUGAGGGGCUGAGAAAGGUAGCCAUUAGAGGGGUGCAGUGGGGUGCAGGAAGCUGUUAGACUUGGCCAUAAUUAAAGAAUCUGGUCACUGUCCUGUUGGUGAACACUGGUUUCCUUUAUAAAGAAACAAGUAGGUUUAUUUCAUAAUCAAGGUCUUCACGGAGGACAGUUGUUCAUGGUUGUCUCUCAUCAUGUUUUGUGUUUCACUUGGGAGCAGGCUGUACCGUAGCUAACUCCAGGCCUGUGGCAGCUCAAUUCAUAUGCCUUCCUUGAGGCUGCCAGCUCCUAGGGAGGGACCACUGCCAUCAGCUGAGGGCAGUUUUUACAGUCCUGUCAUUUUGGAGUCCUCAGUUGAGCUUUUUAUGCUAUUAAAAAAGCCUCCUUCCCCCAAAAAAAAUUAAAAAAAAAAAAAAACCCUUUCACUCAGAUUCAGAUCCUCAAAGCUGGUAUUUGUGAACAGAGGUUUGUUUGCCACAAGGACAAACUGAGACAAAUUUAGUCUCUAUUUUCAAAUUAUGUAUGCCAAAAUGCAAGCGACUUGUGCUUUAUAAGAUAUCUUAAAGCCAAAUUUCCCUCUUUCCAAGUAAGUUUCAAAUGUAGAUUUUGUAAUUUGAGUAAAGUCGGGCCCCAAAUCUUUUUACUGAAAUGGAUGCCUUAAACAGAAGGAAUGUUCAAGCUAAAGAGCACUGUGUAGUGCGUAACGGCCCCAGGCAGAGAUGUGUUUGUGUUGUAGUGUCCCCACCGUACUUUGCACUAUCGAUUACCAGCCCAAUCAAAAUGGGGAAGAGAGUUUCAGCAGCCAGGAGGUGACAUCUGACCCCGCCAGGUAUGAGGGAAGGUGUGUGUGGCCAGGAGAUGGAAAGGAGAUCUAGGGGUCAACAAGAGUAGCAGGGAGAAAAAAAAAAGAAUCACUAGACUGAUUAUACCUACCAAUGUGCCAGGGGGUCUGGGCACGCAGUGGUCCCGAGACUGCCCACGUUCCAACUUAUGCAGGUGGGAUCUGGUAACUCGGGAUCCCACGGCACCAGUUACUAGGCCCUUUAUAUGCUUAAAAAAUUUCAACUGAAUGGAUUGAAUGUUUCUCCAUCGAAUACGUCUUCAGAUUUCAGAUAUUAAAUCACUAGUGGUCUCAGGGAAGAAAUGAAAUUUUCUUUAGAGGCUUACUGAAUCUAUUCAGGUGUAGAUAUAAUCUACUGGUAAAUCUUCGUGUACAAGCCAUCGUUAGCUUACUUUUAACUGUGGAAUUGGUUAAAUGGAGACUUUUAGUCCAUUACCUUACAAGGUUGGACAUGGAUUUUAAAACUUGUUUUGACUUAGCAUAUCAAAAUUAUGUAUCACAUUUGCCUUUUUUGGUAACAUUAAAAGAUGCCUGGUUACUAAUUAAAAAUCUUUAUUAUGAUUAAUAAAAUUGAGCUGAGUUUUAAA